GGGGAGUGGAGACAUAUUUUGUUUGUGCCUCAGAUCCUGCCGCCUAGGAGAGGCUGGGUGACAGCAUAUCUGGCACAGGUUCCUGUCCAUGCUGGGGAGACCAGAUUGCAUCUGCCUUCGUUCUCCGGUCACUGCUUCUACAAAACGUGAUCGCUGAGCGUCUCAGAGCCUCUUGCCACGUGCGGUUGAAAUCAGCCCACAGCUUCUUGGAGUCCCUGGGGAGACAGGGACCCGACAGAUGGGCAGAUGGGGAAAAGAGCAGUAAUUGCAUUACGUUCUGUUUCCUUGGGAAAUCACACUGAAAAAGACGAGCGAGCACCUCAGAAGCAGAGGAGGAUGGGUUGGGAUGUGGGAAGAGAGAUAACCUGCUGUUGGGGACUGGAGCUGUAAGCAGGGCUGGGACUGGUGCCCAACCUGCCCCGAGUACGGUCUGCCCCUGCCCGGCAAUUUUGCAGCAAGGAGUGAAACAUACUCGGCUCCUGGGCCUGUCCCUUCCUCGCAUCAUUAAUUAGAGGUUUGCCCGUGUCCUGUAGUGAUCUGCUGGGCUUUGUUUGCUUAGCUGAGCCCCUCAGAGCUCUGGGCUGUUUACAUGCAGAGAUUCGAUUUCAGGCCCAUCUCUAAGCCUCACCGUGUCUCAUGGUGACAUUUCCCUUGCUAAAUAUCAGAACAGGGUUGUCUGAAAGCCAGAGUGAGGAAGGACAGAGUGAGAGAUGCAGGAUGAAGGACAGGAAAGGCUGGAGGAGGGGAUUAGGGCAACAGUAAUAGGAAGUGAAAGGAAAACCAAGUCCAAAUCAGGCCCUGUGGAGGAAUAAGUACCGGGGUGGUUGGGUGGCCUGGCAAGGCUUCUGCAGAGGCUGUGGGAUCGUUCAAAGCAAUUAAAUGCUUUCCUGGGGGGAGCAGCUUACAUGAAAGAAGGAGCCUGUUUGGACCUUCUCCAGUUCCCGCUGUCUUUAAUAAUCUUCCAGCAACUUGAGUCAGCUGGUGGCUAAAGGCAACAGCCAGGAGUUUGUAGAGCAGUUGGGCCAAGGAGCAAAGUGAGGGGUUGCAAGCAGGUGGUUUGGCUCUGCAGGGACAGGGUGCUCUGGAAAGAUGAACAGGAGCUGCCCUGUGCAUCUCUGCCUUGGGCUUGAACUAUCCCAAAAUCCUGACCCUGCAGGGUCCUGGUGAAGAGGAAGAUGAUGGGUUUGGGGCUCCUCCACUGCUCUGCAGCGGUUCCUGCUCCCACAGGCGAUGGUUGUGGGUUUUCCUCUCCCCCUGCCCCAAAGGGAAGAGGGGCCUGGAUGCACCAUGCAGCUCUGGCAGUGUAAUGGGGGGAGAUGGGCGCUGUGAGCCUCUGAGAGCAUCGUGACGGUAUACUGGAGGAUUCCAGGAAAAUGGAAAUCCAGUGGCUGUGAGAUUGGAGAUGAGGUUACCACUUGUGCCUGCACAAUGCUGGCUGCAUUAGAUGUUAACCACGUUCCCCAUGGCUUUGCUGACCUGUGCAGGGCUGAGCCGUCCUGGUCUGUGGGCUUCUUGAAGAGAGAGCUGGGAUUUCCUGUGUGCUUGGGGCUCUGCAAUGCAGCACUGGUGAACCAAACCCAAGGUCCUGCUCCUGAAGGUUUUGUUGGCUGCAGGCCUUAACCCCGCUAUGACAGCACAAAACACAGGAUCUUGAAAAGAAAUGACACUUCUGAAGGCAAACAAGAAGGAGAUGUUCUGUUCUGAGUGUGCUGAGAAGCUUCUCCCCCUCCAAAUGUAAUGAACUUUUAUUGCUGUUGAGAAGCUCCUAUAAAAAGACAUUUUCCAGUGCAAAAAACCUUGCAUCAGGGACCUGUUUGACUGGGUCUACAGGUGAUGGAGCUGAAAUUACUGAGCGGUGCCUGUUCUGCCUCCAGAACCUGCCUGCAGCAUCACCUCCCAUCUCCUCAGAAGCCCUACCAUUACCUGGGGAUGCCUGAGGGCCCCCUGUAGCCUCAGAAAAGCUCUCUGUUGGCUUGAUUUUUUUUUUUUUUUUAAAGCUUUUGUUUUGAUAAAAACAGUGAGUUUUCUAUCAAAGCCAUUGUUGCCUUUCAUCCCUGGGGAAAACUGUGAGAAUGGCUGCCUUUUAGCCACAGAUGAUUUAGGGGAUUGGGAGCCUUUCAUGGUACUACUUUUAUCUUGGGAAUGGGCAGGUCUCCUUGUAGGAUUUGAGUGUUUGGGGAGGGAGAGGUCAAUGCUCUGGGUGAGGUUUGGGCUUUGUCCUGCCCACGGGAGGCUCCAACCCUUGGUACCACGAAGAUGGGCACAGUACCUUUAUGCUUUUCCCUUUGGAGCCAAACCUGCCUGUGAAGAGGGAGCUGGGGCUGUUGCUGUGUGUUAACUGAAGAGCAAGAA